AGAGUUUGAUCAUGGCUCAGAUUGAACGCUGGCGGCAUGCCUAACACAUGCAAGUCGAACGGUAACGACUUCAUUACCUUCGGGUAAUGAAGGGCGACGAGUGGCGGACGGGUGAGUAACGCAUAGGAAUCUGCCCAGUAGUGGGGGACAACUCCGGGAAACCGGAGCUAAUACCGCAUNCGCCCUACGGGGGAAAGCGGGGGAUCUUCGGACCUCGCGCUAUUGGAUGAGCCUAUGUCUGAUUAGCUUGUUGGUAGGGUAACGGCCUACCAAGGCAACGAUCAGUAGCUGGUCUGAGAGGAUGAUCAGCCACACUGCGACUGAGACACGGCGCAGACUCCUACGGGAGGCAGCAGUGGGGAAUAUUGCACAAUGGGCGCAAGCCUGNNGCAGCAAUUCCGCGUGUGUGAAGAAGGCCUGCGGGUUGUAAAGCACUUUCAGUAGCGAAGAAAAGCCUGAGG
rnacentral:rRNA from 1 species